UUUGCGGACCUCGCGUAACAGAAAGCCACCUUUCAGCGCCUGCGCGUCUAUCCUCCCCAAGGUCCAGGCGUCCCUGCUCUGCCGCGCGCCGCGGUCCUUCUGUUCCAUCCCGUCCAGGUCCCCUCUAGCCUCGGGGCUUUUGUACGUUUGACCCACUCUCCAGAUUCCGUCUGGUCUUCCACCUCCUGCUCCCUCCACAGUCUCCUCGUUGCAGCCCAGGGGACUCCUCCCCCACCCCGGCCUGGCUUCCUAGGCAGGUGGGGCCUCCGGAAUGCUCCCUCCACCCGCCCUGCCUGCAUAACGCCCAGCGCAUUCUGAAAUUUCGUAUUUGUGAGUGAUUAUCUGAUCUCUGACUUUGAUAAGUAAGGUGCUCCUGAGCCCUGCAGAAAGAGGACAGAAGAGAAGGGAGCGAUGGACGUUAAGAAUCAAAACAACCACCGGGACAAUGAAUAUUUGUUGUGCAGCCGCUGUUCGCCCGCGCCAGGUGGUGAAGAAUGAGAGGUCGAAUUGGCGCCAAAGCGCUGUGAGCGCAACCCGGUGGGCGGAGGGUCAGAAGUCUGAGUGGUUCUGGGACCGUCAGUCGACAGACGUCAGUCAGGAUAAACCAGGUACCCCAACCAGGUGCUAACGUCAGGCCGUGGUUCUGGUCUCAAUGAUCUGGCCGCAGAAAGACCAUCUCCCCACACACAGAGGAGGCACAGCCCUUCUUCAGAUGUUCACAAUAAAGAGAGAUCCAGGGACACUGGCCAUGACGAGGAUGGGAUCAACGUGUGGACAUUCUCAUAUGCAAUACUUGGUUAUAUCACUGUGCAAGAGAACAUGGAUCGGGGUGUCAAAAUUAAGUCAGUUCCAUAUUUGGAACCCAUAUUAACAAAAAUUGAAUACUAUUUAUUGAAUAACUUUUCAUAAAUGUUAUUCUUAGUAAUAUUAAUGCUAUUUAUUAAAUAAUAUUGAAUGAAUAUCAUGUAUUAAAUAAUGCUUAUUUAAUAAUAUGACAA
rnacentral:lncRNA from 1 species